rnacentral:rRNA from 1 species
UACGUAGGGGGCGAGCGUUGUCCGGAAUUAUUGGGCGUAAAGCGCGCGUAGGCGGCCGGUUAAGUCCUGUGUGAAAGACCACGGCUCAACCGUGGGGGUGCACGGGAAACUGGCCGGCUUGAGUGCAGGAGAGGGGAGCGGAAUUCCCGGUGUAGCGGUGGAAUGCGUAGAGAUCGGGAGGAACACCAGUGGCGAAGGCGGCUCCCUGGCCUGUAACUGACGCUGAGGCGCGAAAGCGUGGGGAGCGAACAGGAUUAGAUACCCUGGUAGUCCACGCCGUAAACGAUGAGUGCUAGGUGUUGGGGGCGUCAGGCCCUCUGUGCCGAAGGUAACCCAAUAAGCACUCCGCCUGGGGAGUACGGCCGCAAGGCUGAA